GGGGGGGGGGGGGGGGGGGGGGGGGGGGGGGGGGGGGGGGGGGGGGGGGUGGUUCGGGGGGCGGGCGGGGGGGGAACGGGGGAGGGCCUGCGCUGGGGGGGGGAAGAACGGCGGGAAACGGCGGCGACUAGCCCGUGGGCUGCGGAGCAGAAGGGGGAAUGCGCGUGGGGAGGGGCUCGCGUCUGAUUAGCUAUCUGGUGAGGCAAUAGCUUACCAAUGCGAUGAUCAGUAGCUGGUCCGAGAGGAAGAUCAGCCACACUGGGACUGGUACACGUACCAGACUAUUACGGGCGGCAGGAGUGGGGAAGUUCCAGCAAUGGGGGAAAGGCUGACGGGGCAAUGGCGCGGGGAAGUAGGAGGCCUGCGGGGGGUGAACUUCUUUUCAAGGCGUAGAAGCAUUGACGGUAUCUGGGGAAUAAGCAUCGGCUAACUCGGUG
rnacentral:rRNA from 1 species